GAUGAACGCUGACGGCGUGCCUAAUACAUGCAAGUCGAGCGAACAGACGAGGAGCUUGCUCCUCUGACGUUAGCGGCGGACGGGUGAGUAACACGUGGAUAACCUACCUAUAAGACUGGGAUAACUUCGGGAAACCGGAGCUAAUAUCGGAUAAUAUAUUGAACCGCAUGGUUCAAUAGUGAAAGACGGUUUUGCUGUCACUUAUAGAUGGAUCCGCGCCGCAUUAGCUAGUUGGUAAGGUAACGGCUUACCAAGGCAACGAUGCGUAGCCGACCUGAGAGGGUGAUCGGCCACACUGGAACUGAGACACGGUCCAGACUCCUACGGGAGGCAGCAGUAGGGAAUCUUCCGCAAUGGGCGAAAGCCUGACGGAGCAACGCCGCGUGAGUGAUGAAGGUCUUCGGAUCGUAAAACUCUGUUAUUAGGGAAGAACAAAUGUGUAAGUAACUAUGCACGUCUUGACGGUACCUAAUCAGAAAGCCACGGCUAACUACGUG
rnacentral:rRNA from 1 species